rnacentral:lncRNA from 1 species
GUUAAAUUCAACAUAUUCAAAUCACUGUUGUCUAUAGAAGUCAAUCCACAUUCAGGAGCCUCAUCUAUAACAGUGAAUAAACCAUUUUCUUUACUCAAAUGCGUGUAUCCUAAGGAGAUAUUUUUGCUCUUAGGUACAUCCGAGUCCAGAACCACCAUUGAUCUCACCUUUUCGAUCCUAGCUUUACCAAACACUACUACAUGUUCUCCUACAGCCGCAACAUCUAUAACAGUUUUGCGAGUAGUAGUCAGGGAGCGUAGCUGCCGAGAUAAUUCACCUGGA